GAUGAACGCUAGCGGGAGGCCUAACACAUGCAAGCCGAGCGGUAGAGUUUCUUCGGAAACUUGAGAGCGGCGCACGGGUGCGUAACACGUGUGCAACCUACCUUUAUCUGGGGGAUAGCCUUUCGAAAGGAAGAUUAAUACCCCAUAAUAUAAUGAUUGGCAUCAAUUAUUAUUGAAAACUCCGGUGGAUAGAGAUGGGCACGCGCAAGAUUAGAUAGUUGGUGAGGUAACGGCUCACCAAGUCAAUGAUCUUUAGGGGUCCUGAGAGGGAGAUCCCCCACACUGGUACUGAGACACGGACCAGACUCCUACGGGAGGCAGCAGUGAGGAAUAUUGGACAAGGGGUGAGAGCCUGAUCCAGCCAUCCCGCGUGAAGGAUGACGGUCCUAUGGAUUGUAAACUUCUUUUGUACAGGGAUAAACCUACCCUCGUGAGGGUAGCUGAAGGUACUGUACGAAUAAGCACCGGCGAACUCCGU
rnacentral:rRNA from 1 species